UACCGCCCAAGAGUUCAUAUCGACGGCGGUGUUUGGCACCUCGAUGUCGGCUCAUCACAUCCUGGGGCUGAAGUAGGUCCCAAGGGUAUGGCUGUUCGCCAUUUAAAGUGGUACGCGAGCUGGGUUUAGAACGUCGUGAGACAGUUCGGUCCCUAUCUGCCGUGGGCGCUGGAGAACUGAGGGGGGCUGCUCCUAGUACGAGAGGACCGGAGUGGACGCAUCACUGGUGUUCGGGUUGUCAUGCCAAUGGCACUGCCCGGUAGCUAAAUGCGGAAGAGAUAAGUGCUGAAAGCAUCUAAGCACGAAACUUGCCCCGAGAUGAGUUCUCCCUGACCCUUUAAGGUCCUGAAGGAACGUUGAAGACGACGACGUUGAUAGGCCGGGUGUGUAAGCGCAGCGAUGCGUUGAGCUAACCGGUACUAAUGAACCGUGAGGCUUAACCUU
rnacentral:rRNA from 1 species